CCUACGGGGGGCUGCAGUGGGGAAUUUUGGACAAUGGGCGAAAGCCUGAUCCAGCCAUGCCGCGUGAGUGAAGAAGGCCUUCGGGUUGUAAAGCUCUUUCGGCGGGGACGAAAUGGCGCGGGGUAACAUCCCGCGUCGAUGACGGUACCCGAAGAAGAAGGACCGGCUAACUACGUGCCAGCAGCCGCGGUAAUACGUAGGGUCCAAGCGUUAAUCGGAAUUACUGGGCGUAAAGCGUGCGUAGGCGGUCUCGCAAGUCCGAUGUGAAAUCCCCGGGCUUAACCUGGGAACUGCGUUGGAAACUAUGAGACUAGAGUGCGGCAGAGGGGGGUGGAAUUCCAGGUGUAGCAGUGAAAUGCGUAGAGAUCUGGAGGAACACCGAUGGCGAAGGCAGCCCCCUGGGCCAGCACUGACGCUCAUACACGAAAGCGUGGGGAGCAAACAGGAUUAGAUACCCUUGUANUC
rnacentral:rRNA from 1 species